UUGUAGAGCUUGUCGAUACGAUCGCGUGCAUAUGUGGAACGAAAAAAUCGGAGUUCGUAUGAAUUAGUUAUGAUUUUUUGAAAAAGUUUCCAAUUUAGUAUAAAGGUUCCAUUUUCGGAAAUUUCCGAAAAUAUUUUCAGAAAUUUCCAAAAAUGGAAACCGGCUGCAGGUUUCCUCCCGAGGCCGGAAAUCGCCUCCAAACUUCUCCAAGCCAUAUCUUCAUCCUCCGGCCACCAAUCCUCACCAAAUUUCUUCCAUUGGCUUCAUAUGGUUCUUGCGCACCCGUAUGUGGUGGCCUUGCACGGCGGCGCGGCCUGUAGCUUCGGCGGCAAGAUCGUUCCGAUUUGAGUUCGAUUUGAGUCAACACCGGUUUUCUCCUAGCUCCGGCCACCAAAACUUCCGAUCCUUAGCUCUAUGAACUCGCCUCAACCUGCUGAUCAUCAUCCCAGAAGGAUCGCACCUGGAGUGACCGGUUUCACUUUCGUCGGAGCUCGACCGGUUUUCGAUCGAAAACCAAAACCUUUCGAUCGUGAUAUCUCGAGCUGUAGUGCAUCGUUUUGAUUGAUUCUUGAACCAAUGAGUUCGCAUUGAAGUUCUGAACAAGUUCCAUGCAGGAAUCGAAGCGAGUUGUUGACGUUUUUACGUUGAACGGAGCCUCUGCCGGAUUCUGGAAAUUUUCCGGCCAAACCGUGGCUUCUAGGUGAUCGACGGUUUGAUUUGGCGGACGAUUCGUGAAAUCGUUGUUUGAGCUGUUAAGAAGACGCAGCGGGAAUUUAGAGCGGGUAGUCCUGCAGGUCAGGAGGAUCAUGGCGGAGAUCGUGCGGAUUAGAGUAUUCGUUUAGUUUUACAGCUUUGUAAAUUGUGAGGUGAGUGAUGCUCAAUUGGAGCUUUACAAAUUUACUUUGUACAAGUGAGUUGUAUUAAUUAAAUUGAGGUUUUCGAGAUUUGA